CAUUUGGUAGUUAACCAGUCAUAAGUAUCCCGCAAACGCACAAAUUUCUAACCGCAGAACCAGUCGUACGAAUCUUUUAAAACCGCUAGAAACCGCAACCACCCGCAUCCGCAAACUCCCGCAACCGCAACCGCAACCGCUGCGGUUAAACCAGUCAGACCCUAAAUAUCUAAGCUGUUACUGGUUGAACAAAAUUUGGAAUAAGAAAUGUAUGGAAUGGGUAAUUCUUUUUGAUUCCGUAAAAAUACAACAGUUACAAUGAAAGAUCAUUUAUAAAGCAAUCCUAAUUUUUUUUUUAAUGAAUGGAAAAAUAACAAUUUCUUUGUGAAAGCAUCCAACAACUUAAACUUUAAGGAAUAAGUGGAAUGAGUGGAAUAAUUUUAUUUUUAGUUUAAUCAAUAAAUACAUUUUAUUUCUAGUCCAAUUCUAUACAUUCCAUUUAAUAAUAUUCCUUAAUUUAACUGGUCGUUACAUCCAUGAUAAAAAUUGUAAGGAAUGAAAUGAAUAGAUAGAAAGAAAGAAAAAAAUAUCCAUCUCAUUCAUUUUAUCCCGUAAAUUACAGUUAUUUCAUUUUAUUAUUCCAUUUAUUCUAAUUCAUUUAUUCCACCAGUCUGUAUUCACACAUUCAUAAAAAUGAUUACCAGUUUCAGCCUUAAUAGUCAUUUCCUUUCUUUAUAUUUAAUUUUCUUAUAUAUACUAAAAAUAAUUAAAUGUUCUGUUUUGGUUUUGAUAGAUAUGUAAUAUAUCAUUUUGUUUGGUUUUGUAAAUUAAUAAACUAAUAAAUAAAAAUAAAAUUGAAAUUUUGUCAAAUAUUUGCAUCAAAAAUGUAAAACAACACGUGAUAUCAUAUGAAGGAAAUAGUAAUACUAAAUUUCGGUCAUAUAUGAAUAUGCGCCCCAAAACCGCCAGUAAAAGUGGAUCCAACCUUGAGAACGUGCCAACAGCCUCCUGAAUACGUAAAUGUCACUAUCAGAUAAGAUUUGAUAUCCUACUAUAUAAAAUAGACUAAAUCUCUGGUUCCUAAGCUCUGCCACAUAGGCAAAAAUAUUGUGAGCCAAUCAAUAUGACAUGUCACUACCGUUCUGGGCUUUAACCCAAUAAAUUGGAAACCGACUUUUGCCAUUUUCAUUUUCGGGGCCCAAAUCACUCACUCACUCAAGCCUAAAAAGCCUAAAGUCACUCCCCCGUAACCCUAAUAGAUAUCUCCCUCAGAACAGAAAACUCUUUCGCCGGAGAUCACCUCCUCUCUCUUGCUGGCAAUCGUCAUGGACUGGUUAAAAUCUGUCAAGAGCUUUAUCUUCACUUCAUCUCCAUGUUCAAGGUAAUGACAAUCACCACGAAGGUACAGAUUCACUCCGGCUUGCUUCUCCACCGAUUCAUCAACGGCGAUGUCUCUUCUCCACUCGCUAUGAAUCUCGUGCUCAACCAUCUUUUCCAUGGAUUUCUUCAAAACCAAGUACAGAUCUUAUGAUUCCAAGGAGAACCAAGGAGAAGAUCAUGAAGCCUUCUUCUUCUUCUUCGUCUCUCUUGGUAAGAUCUUCAGUAUAUAUUUUGAUUUUCAUCUACGUUCAAAGACAAGUCUUUGUGAUGAUCUAAUCAUAUUCUUUAUACACUUUAUCUUCGGUGGAUUUUCCAUGAAAUCAUCGGUUCUGAAAGAGAAGGAUGAGAUGCUGCGUGAAGGUGGCUAAGGGUCGUUGGUAUUUUUACGUUUGUUAACGGUGGUGGUAGCUCCAGAAGAUAUUUUUUUAGGAGUUUGUUUAUACGAUCAUAAGUAGCUCUUUAUUCUGGAGAAUUUAAUUUAUAUAUCAUCAGUUGUGCAUAAAUUCUCGGUUUUAGUGUCUUUAUCUUCUUCUUUAUUUCCAGUCAGCAUGAAGGAGGAGGCUGAAAAUCUUUAGAAAAGUACAUCAAAAUUGGGUCAUGCCUUUCUAAGUUAUUUUUGUAGCUUCUCCCUCUUUACAAUCAUUGUUGCUCUUGGUUUGGCAAAUAACAUUUCAAUUAUAUGCAGGAUAUAUUAUAAAGGCUUAUUCACAACGCGAGAAAAGUGUUGAGAUCAUCUCAGUUGCCUUCCUCAACAUACUCAGAUGUAAACAAAGAAGGUGUGAAUUAGAGGAUGAUUGUCUCCUUUUUCUAUACAGAAAGAUGAAUUGUAUCAAAAUUUAAGAUAGUGAGAAAGAUGGUGCGAACAGGGAGUGCAGACAUCAAAUAAUAUUUGGAAGGUUCUAUCUUUAUGUUAAUCCAAAUACAAUAUUUCUAAUAUAGAUGAGCAGUCACAAAGGUAUCCAAAUCAACAACAACUCUAUCAGUGGGUUAUUAUACAUGGAUAGAGCAAGAUGACAUGUCUGUGCACUCUCCCUGUAAAGUCUUACCUUCCUCCGCUUCUUCUCUCUCCAAGGAGCAGUCACAGGCAGGGGCGGAGGGAGUGUAUGGGGAGUGGGGUCAGCUGACCCCACUAUUUUUUAAUUUUUUUUUGUUUUUGUUAAA